rnacentral:rRNA from 1 species
UACGAAGGGUGCAAGCGUUACUCGGAAUUACUGGGCGUAAAGCGUGCGUAGGCGGUUUGUUAAGUCUGUCGUGAAAGCCCCGGGCUCAACCUGGGAAUGGCGAUGGAUACUGGCAAGCUAGAGUGUGUCAGAGGAUGGUGGAAUUCCCGGUGUAGCGGUGAAAUGCGUAGAGAUCGGGAGGAACACCAGUGGCGAAGGCGGCCAUCUGGGACAACACUGACGCUGAGGCACGAAAGCGUGGGGAGCAAACAGG